AGGAAUUGACGGGGGCCCGCACAAGCGGCGGAGCAUGUGGAUUAAUUCGAUGCAACGCGAAGAACCUUACCUGGGUUUGACAUACACCGGAAAACCGUAGAGAUACGGUCCCCCUUGUGGUCGGUGUACAGGUGGUGCAUGGCUGUCGUCAGCUCGUGUCGUGAGAUGUUGGGUUAAGUCCCGCAACGAGCGCAACCCUUGUCUUAUGUUGCCAGCACGUGAUGGUGGGGACUCGUAAGAGACUGCCGGGGUCAACUCGGAGGAAGGUGGGGACGACGUCAAGUCAUCAUGCCCCUUAUGUCCAGGGCUUCACACAUGCUACAAUGGCCAGUACAGAGGGCUGCGAGACCGUGAGGUGGAGCGAAUCCCUUAAAGCUGGUCUCAGUUCGGAUCGGGGUCUGCAACUCGACCCCGUGAAGUCGGAGUCGCUAGUAAUCGCAGAUCAGCAACGCUGCGGUGAAUACGUUCCCGGGCCUUGUACACACCGCCCGU
rnacentral:rRNA from 1 species